GCUUCUGUUAAAUAACAAGAAAUCUCAAAGCUUUUAGUUGUAAACAACUAAUAAAAUCAAGUUUUGAAACAAAAAAGGAAUUUUUUGUAUAAUUGGAAUUUGAAAGCGAACAGAAUUUUAUUUUAUUUAUUAUAUCGUUUUAGUGAGAAUGAUUUUGUGUAAUUUUGUAAGGAUUUCGAUUUGAGAAUCGCGAAUUUAGUGAAAAAGUAAUUUUCCGUAAGAAAUUUUCUUGUUAUAUUUUGUUUGAAAAUCACGAAGGCGAAUUCGACAAAUUUGAUUAGGUGUUGGUGCGCGAUUCUACGCGAAAUUUUAACCCGUUAACGAAACGAAAGGUAAAUGUAGUUCACGUUCCAUAAUGCGGUUUGCCAAAAAGUAGGUGAUUGUUGGAUAAAUAACAAAAAAAAUGAUUUUCCAUUCUUCAUAAGAAAUAUUUCUAAAUACAUAUUUUACGUUUCUACUCGGUACUGCAAGAUAAUUCAAUUCAUUUGAACGUACGUUGAAAUUUUCCAAUAUUGUAAAUCAAAUAAAUUUUUCUCCAUCCAUUAUUCCAAAAUUUAUGCUGAGAAAUUGAUAUUUUUCCCAAAAAUUGAAUGUAACACAAUUUCAAAAUGAUAUACGAGGUAUAUCCACAAAGAAAGUUCCAUUUGGUUAUAAAAGAACAUACGUGCAGGUCAAAAAACAUAUUUUUCAUGCUGUUAACCUUAUUUUCUGUGUAGUUUCGAAAAUUUUUUAAACACUUGUUUUUGUAUGCCUCCUCCAUGUUCUCCGGCUGGUUUCAACUUUGAACGAGAGAUUUCAGGUGUAAGAAGAGAUGAAAGUCGGUAGGAGCAAGGUCCGAAUAUGUCGCAAAUUUCGACUACUCCCUUAGAUUCAAACAGAAGAUUGUUAAUAUUUAUGACCAAAGCUAAUUUUACUCAUUAUAUGAUAUUGAUCAAAUAAAAUCUUGACUUUGUUAUUUUAGAUUGAUUAAUUCUUUUCAGCGUUUACUGUAACACAUUUAAGUCCAGUAAAUAUUUGAUGAAUAAUAAUGAUGAUAAUCAUAUGAUAGAAUUGCUCCAAUACACCUCAAAUUCACUUUGAUUCGAAAUAGUAGUACAUGGAUCCUUCUGAUCAAUAUAAAUGAUAAUUAAGUAACUUGAAAAUGUGAUUUCCAUUCGAACGUCUUUCUGAGUAAUCUGUUGAGAUUUUACUGAUCUUUGAGAAGAAAUAUGUUGGGUUAAUGAGACGAUUGUGUGAUGAAUGUCUUUGGAAUUUGAUCAAAAAUGAGGCAACCGCCGCGAUAUGGAAAAGUGAUUCGUAAUUUUUCGGUAUUGAUUUCGGUGUGUCGCGAAUCGGUUUUAAGUGAUGGAAAUCAUGGAAAUGAAAAAUAGAUAUGGAGGCUUUCCUAUGUGGACAAAGUUAUGUGUUUGUGCGCGAUUCGACGCGAAAUUUUAACCCGUUAACGAAACGAAAAAUAUAUAGUGUGCGAAUCGAUAAAGCGGUAUGCCCAAAAGGUAGGUGAUUGUUGAAUAAAUAACAAAAAAACAUAUUUCUUCAAUUUUUAUAACAAAUAUGUAUUUCAAACUACAAAUAUAUGUGUUUCUAAAAUGGAAAUGCUGCUACAUCAGGAAUAUAAAAAUAGAUGUAAAAUUCUAUUUUCUAUUAUCGUUUUUCUGUGUCACGUUUCUUUCCAAAACUUACCCUGUCUGAAAAAAAAAUUAAAUUUUUUUAUGUAAUAAAUUUUUUACAAAUUAAAUGUAAAACAAUUUUCCUAUUGUAAAGAAAAUACUAAAAUUUGUCAUACACGUCUAAAUAACAUUUUUAUAACAGUUUCAAGAUUAAUUUCAGAUGAAAUGUUUUUUUUUUGUUAUUUAUUGGGUGUGCUAUGAAAAUUAUUUCCAUGAUAAUUUGUUGAUGGUUACAUACAUGAGACAUACAGGAGACAGGAGACAUACAGGAUUCCAGGAACAUUUUGAUUGUUUACGUACGGAGACAUCGUUUCAAAUUCGUUUACACAAUUACCUAUCUAUUAUUAAACAGAGCCACUUUAUUUUUGACUUAAUUCGAAAAAUUUUAUUAAAAUUUAGAUUAAAUACCAAGAAAUUAUAAUACAAUACAUUUUUUUCCAAAAUGUCUUUAGAAACCAUUUAAAAUACAGAGAUUAUUUUGAGAAUAUUAUCCAAAUAACUUUGAUAAAAUUGAUUAGAUUCUGUUGAAAUUUUGUGUAAAAAUUGAUGGAAUAAAUUAAAAUUUGAAAGUUAAAUGUCCACUCGUUUGGAAACGAAUAAAGAAGAUGAUUGUUUGAAAUAACUAUUAGGGAAUUUUGAAAGUUAUUAAUUUGUUGAAAGAUUCGAAAAAAAUUGAGAGCGGCUCAAUAUAUGAAAAAUCCAUCUGAAUAUGAAUUGAAACGAAUUAUUUAUUUUUUUAUAGGUAUCUAGGUACAAUGAGGAGUUUGCAGUUCUUUGAUGUGUUAUAUUUCCAAAUUUUUGAAUUUAUUCUUUCUUGUUUUGAUGUUUUGUGUGAUAUGUGAUAUAGUGUGAUCGCACGGUUAUCCUCGGGUACAAUAAGGACUUGUAGUUUUUAGAAAAUCUCCUUAAACUAAUUAAUUAACGAACUUUUUGUUAAUUUUUUCAAUACUCUUGGUUAUAUAACUAAUUAAGUUUAACUUGUAGAUGUGAUUUCCAUUCAAAUGACUUUCUAAGUAAUCUGUUGAGAUUUUCUUCAACUAUGAGGACGAGGCUGUUGGGUUAAGCUAAUUUUUUUCGGAAAAUUAGUUCCCUAGAAACGACAAGUACAGGCUUGAGGUUGCUCUAACGUAGUAGACUAACAAGUCUGUGCUAUGGGGAUGAUUGUGUGAUGUAUGUCUUUGGAAUUUGAUCAUAAAUGAGGCAGGCAACCGCCGCGAUAUGGAAAAGUGAUUCGAAAUUUUCGAUAUCGGUGUGCCGCGAAUCGAUUUUAAAAGUGUUGGACAAUAUGGAAAUUGGUAUAUGGAAAUGGAUAUGGAAAAUGGAUAUGGAAAGUCUACUUCGUGGAAGACCAUAUGUGAGUACAAAUUUUUAUAUACAUUAAAUUAGGUUGGGUGAUUUCGUUUUCUAAUGAUAGUAAAGUUAUAACGCAAUGAUAAACUUUUGUCUGAUGCUUACAAAGAUAUGAAAAUCAAGUUACUUUUGAGUUCUUUAUUUGAUAGAAAAGUUUCACAACCAAAAAAAUCGUAUGGAAAAAAAUUUAUAGAUAUUUGGAGAAUAAUAUUCCGUAUGAAUUUGCAUUUUUAAGUUUGGUAUUUUCAGUUAUGUAAAUUGAAAGUAUGUGUGUGAUAAUUAUUGUAUCUUGUAUGCGUGUGUAAAAAAUUCCGUUUUGCAAUCUUUAUAUCAAUGGCUACUUCAUUUGUUAUAAAUUUUCGUUUUUCUUUCCCAAACUGGACCUGAAAUUUAAAAAUAUAAAAUGUUGUAAACUUCGGAUCUGUGAAUUACUUUGAUAAUAAUUGAAUGAUAAAAUUAUUAUACACUAUUUUGUUCUUAUACAGAACUUAAUAAAAUUGAAUUUUUCGAAAUGAAAAUUACAUUUUUCUAAUAAUAAUUCGAAAAAAAAAACAUAUUUUCUGGACAUUUUAUUUUAUAAUCGACUGUGAACAAUUUAUUCCAACGUUAAUUGUUUCUAAUUUAUAUCAACCCUUAAAAAAAGAAAA